GUGGGGAAUAUUGGGCAAUGGGCGAAAGCCUGACCCAGCAACGCCGCGUGAAGGAAGAAGGUCUUCGGAUCGUAAACUUCUAUCCUUGGUGAAGAUAAUGACGGUAGCCGAGAAGGAAGCCCCGGCUAACUACGUGCCAGCAGCCGCGGUAAUACGUAGGGGGCAAGCGUUGUCCGGAAUGAUUGGGCGUAAAGGGCGCGUAGGCGGCCUGGUAAGUCUGGAGUGAAAGUCCUGCUUUUAAGGUGGGAAUUGCUUUGGAUACUGUCGGGCUUGAGUGCAGGAGAGGUAAGUGGAAUUCCCGGUGUAGCGGUGAAAUGCGUAGAGAUCGGGAGGAACACCAGUGGCGAAGGCGACUUACUGGACUGUAACUGACGCUGAGGCGCGAAAGUGUGGGGAGCAAACAGGAUUAGAUACCCCUGUAGUCC
rnacentral:rRNA from 1 species